CACACAGUCAGAUGGCUUCCUACAGUGAACUGAGGUGUUUAACAACUGUAUUUGAAGACAAUACUACCAGCCAUGUCUUCCUUCUUAUUGUGGACGCUUUGACCAACAGAGUUUUCAUUCAGUGACAUACAUGUACACAGAACUGCAGGAAAGUGAGCCGUUGCUUUUGAGAACCACACGGUCAGCUAGCAGCAGCUGAAUCUGGAGUGCACUCAUAUUCAAACCUUUACGGUAAAUGCUCCACACAGAGGAGCUUGUUGCUCUUCUACUAUCAGCUGCUGUUUCAACAAACUUUCCAUUCAGGGUGAAAAUUCAAAUGUUGUGUCAGGAGAUGCAGUGACUGCACCAGUGAAGACAGAGGAGGCAGCAUGUGGAGGACAUAACCAUAUUUGUCAGGAGACAAGAAGAAGAAGAGCAACAAAGAAGAUAACCCAAAAACAAUAGAAUAAAUUCCUUUUAUAUGCCCUUCUUA